CAAAAAUGAAUUUAAGUGUGAUUAGAAAUGACACGAAUUUAACCAAUGUAUUAUUAGAUUACGAAGACAUUGAUUAUCCGGGAAUUUUAAAAGUUGUUCUUUUACCAGAAAUUAUAUGGAAAGUUGCUUUGUUUGUAUUAAUAAUUUUAACUGCUGUUACGGGUAACAUACUAAUAAUUGUUGUUGUUGCGUGGAACAAACGACUUAGAACCACA
rnacentral:lncRNA from 1 species